rnacentral:lncRNA from 1 species
UGCAUUGUACCCACAAGACUCGAGGAAGUUCCUUGUCAUCCAUGACUCGCAGUAUAUUACAUACCCGAGGUAAGAACCCGAACAAUGCCUUUUCCCUAGCGACAAAAAACAAAGGGUCCACUCGUUGCCCCAUGUCCUCAUGAUGUACAUCAUAAAAGCCUCACUCAAGAUCGUACCAUCCUGAGGGGACACAACAAUGUGCAUGGUCU